CUGGGCUACGGAGACAUGUACCCCCAGACGUGGUCAGGCAUGCUAGUGGGGGCGCUGUGUGCGCUCGCAGGGGUGCUGACCAUCGCCAUGCCCGUGCCUGUCAUCGUGAACAAU
rfam:Monodelphis domestica chromosome 5, whole genome shotgun sequence.